rnacentral:piRNA from 1 species
UCUGAAUUUAGUAGCAAAUGC